rnacentral:rRNA from 1 species
GAGUGGAGCUUGCUCCAUGAUUCAGCGGCGGACGGGUGAGUAAUGCCUAGGAAUCUGCCUGGUAGUGGGGGAUAACGUUUCGAAAGGAACGCUAAUACCGCAUACGUCCUACGGGAGAAAGUGGGGGAUCUUCGGACCUCACGCUAUCAGAUGAGCCUAGGUCGGAUUAGCUAGUUGGUGGGGUAAUGGCCCACCAAGGCUACGAUCCGUAACUGGUCUGAGAGGAUGAUCAGUCACACUGGAACUGAGACACGGUCCAGACUCCUACGGGAGGCAGCAGUGGGGAAUAUUGGACAAUGGGCGAAAGCCUGAUCCAGCCAUGCCGCGUGUGUGAAGAAGGUCUUCGGAUUGUAAAGCACUUUAAGUUGGGAGGAAGGACAGUAAGUUAAUACCUUGCUGUUUUGACGUUACCAACAGAAUAAGCACCGGCUAACUUCGUGCCAGCAGCCGCGGUAAUACGAAGGGUGCAAGCGUUAAUCGGAAUUACUGGGCGUAAAGCGCGCGUAGGUGGUUCAGCAAGUUGGAUGUGAAAGCCCCGGGCUCAACCUGGGAAUUGCAUCC